CUUCUUAAGCAUACUUUUUUAACAACCCCUAAGCAACUGGUUUAUUUCGAAAAUUCGUUAACGCACGCGCACAAGUACUAUCAUUGGAAUACCGGCAAAUACAUCCGGUAUAAGUCGAGUAUAAAUUCACCAGUGUAGAAGAAACCAACUUUAGAGCUAUCCAGGAGUAUACUUCAUAUAACUUAAAGACAUGUCGAUAUACACACUGAUUGGCACGCUUGCGAUGUUAGCGCUCGUGAUGUCCCAGCCAGCACAAGAUAUCAGCUCGCUAAAAAUCACAGGAUGCCAGUGCUUCGGAGGGAGUAACUCGUGUAGCGUCCGACAGAUUGGCUACGCCAUUCGGGGAAGUGUUAGAGCAUCAUUCAAUGGAGCCUCGGUCCGAUGCACCCAAACGCCACUUAAGAACGCCAGAAGAAUAGUAUUCGGUUGGAUUCUCACAUGUGAUAUACCAUCCACUUCCGGUCAAUUUGAAGUCAGCUACAACGGCGCCCGGAACCAGCUUUGCGGUAUCAGCUUCGAUCGUGUCACGCUGCGGAGCUGUUCGUUCGUAGGCCGCCCAUGUAGUGAUUUCGGCUAAAAACCUCAAUUUAAAAUGUUUCUUUACAAAAUAUUCAGUGGCUUCUAAUAACAUUUAAGUGCAUUAUUGUGUAUACUUCUAUAAUAUAUUAUCAAUUUUCAAAAACAAAUUCAACCAUUUUCGUAUGGAUGCAUACUUUUCAAUGACAUGUUGUAUUAUUUUUUAUUAAUAAAACGAGUUUGAAAUGACAUUUCAAUUUGAUUUAGGACACGUAUUUACGCAUUUUACUCGAAAUUGCUUUACAUUCUUAAUAGAUGCAGUUUAUGCUCAUAUUUGUGAUCAUAAGGAUGGGACACUAUACGAAAUCAGGUGAGAAUGAUCUUUGAAUCCCCAACAUGUUUAUUUGUUACUCCGUCGAAUAAACUAUACAUUUUUAUCGAGUUCUAAAUAUUUGUCAGUUUGCAAAAAAGCUUGACCCCCUACUGAUGCGUGCAUAUUAUGCUUCACAAACAUAUAAGACCGCGAUCAUCAAAUUCAAUACAAAGUUAAAAAGUUAUCAAAAUCCAUGUUUAAACUAGGUAACUAGUCUUUAAAAAGUAACGUUAAAAGGUAACUUAAUUUGCAAGCCUAGUAUCGUUUAUAAUCAGACUCGUAUGAAUGCCACUAAAUAUGACUUGACCUACAAUUUUCAUUAGAAACGUACAUAAAAUUGUGAUCCUGCGUUCGCAUUGGUAAUAUGAGUCUCUCUCUGGAAAACAGGGUUUAACACAUGUGCGUGUAUUGUCGUCCCAGAUUGGCCUCUAAAGUCCGCACAUGCUAAUCAGGGACAACUUUUUUCGCGUACCGUAAUUACUCUAUGUUUUCGGACACUUAAAAAUAAUUAAUUUUUUUCGUGUCCGAAAACUUAGAUACGAAAAAUAUUCACAAAAUACAGGUGUCCGAAAACUUAGAGUCGAAAAUUGAAGUGUCCGAAAAAAGCGCCAAUUAUAUCAACGACUACCGGUAAUAGCACGCGCUUAUAAAAUACCAUGCCGUAUACAGUACAAAUUACAGUUAUAUAUGUUUGCACUGCAUUUCAAAUAAUUUUAAAAGCUUAAUUUAUUUGACAGAAAGUUACUACAAGGUUGUACUUUGACCAACCAGUUCAAAGAUGAGCAUGUAAUGUACCGAUACUCGCUAGUAUGAACCUGUAAUCAACGAAAUAAAAAAGGAAACUAUAAAUUAUUUGUUUGUUUAUUUCCGAUAGUUGUUGUCGAACACCUUCCAUUGUUCGUAAAACUUGCAAUCCUGGGUGCAUCACACUUUGAAGCGUUUAGUAUUUGGCACAGUUAUUUUACUGAGAAGGGGGAGUACCAUUGCGGUAGAUACUUUAACUGUUAAUUGGCACUACCCCCGGUAAUUGUCAUAACGCUUAUGCUAUCGGGCGAAACCAUUGUUUAAUACCGGUUUACAAGGUUAUUUACCCAAUAACGCAAAUGUAAUGGUCCGUUGCCCUCAGGCAUGCGCCUGCCAGGUUUUAUAAUGUUAAUCUGGUUGUAAAACCCCAUGAUCGAAGUGUCAUUAGAUAUCGAAAACAGGGCCGACAUUUGGUAAAAUAGCGCUGUAAAAUAUACUGUCCGAAAACUUAGAGACAUUAAUUAUGGACGAAAACUCGUGUGUCCGAAAAUUUAGAGUCACGAAAAAUAAUUAUUUUUGCUAAAAAAGGGGUGUCCGAAAACUUAGAGUGUCCGAAAACAGCCAUGCGCUUCUUCCUUGGUAUGGGUGAAUAAUCACCUAACAAUGCCCUUUAUGGUGAGAUGACCUGGCAGCCACCGCAUGUGAAGCAAUGGAAGUCUGUGGCCAAUCAGUGGCAUCGGUUAAAUCUAUGGGUUGUCAAAGAAUAUAUUAAAAUCGUUACUUUUUGUUGUUAUAAAAGAAGAAGCCGUUGAAAAAACUGGCAAUUUCUGCUUAAAAAUCAUAUGCAAAGUAUUAAUAUUGAUGUGCCCCGCACAUUGUUGUUGUUAAACAGUUAUCGAUUUGUUCAUCAUAUACAUGUAACAUUCAUUAUUUUAUUGUACUUACCUGUUUACUUUAUUACCUGAGCUAAACAUUAUCCAAUUCAUCUGAGUGUCCACAACUCCAUUAUUUUGUUGAUAGUAACAACUCACAAAUAUAUUUUUACCUCAUGAGCAUAUUGUAUAAUCAAUCAUUUAGGCAAAAUGUAGAGUGAAUUGUGUUAACUUUUCCAAUGAUUUUGUCGUUUCAUAUUUUACACUUGUUGUUUGAUAAAGAUUGUUCGUGUGUUUUAAAUAUACGACGCUAUUCGCUCAAGUUUUCCAUAAAACUAAUAAUUAUACAGAUAACUGCUCAGUGUUUAUUGUGAAGCACUGUAUUUUACCCUUUAAAUCCAAUGUUAUUGUCCGUAAGUUUAUGUUUGCAAACAUGUGUUCCACCAUUUUGUCUUGAAUGCUGGGACGUAGGUUAAAUUCUACCUUAUUUGCAUCGUCUUGUCUAUUGUAACUUGCGGAGAAAACAUGGAAAGAUCAUUCUCUAUUAUGAAUUCGGUAGGUUUUACUGUCAAAUAUUGAUUGUUUAAGUAAUUUUGAUAGAUUGUUAUCAAUUUCCAAUAUGGCGACUGUUCCUGUCCGUUUCCUUCUGGUAUCCAUGGAGCGCGUUCAAUAAAUGGGUUAUUUUUGGGACUGGGCGUUCUUUUGUUGGUCAUAAUUUGAACGUUAUUUUUGGGACUGGGCGUUCUUUUGUUGGUCAUAAUUUGAACGCCCUUUUUGGGAUUGGACAAAAACGGAUUUUAAGUGGGUUUUAUUUGGUCUUUGUCCAGUUUGGGGUUUGUGCCCAUCCAUGGGUAUAAAAGGAACGGUUUCCCCGGUUCAGUCAGUCUUGAAACCCAUAUUACAUAAGACACACGUGUCGCAUAACAUCUUAAGCGAAGGGAAAUAUAAUAGUAACGGAUACGAAUAUUAUUAAAGUACGUUUUAUUGACAAAUCUGAAUAAGAAUAAGAAAACUAUUUCAUUUAACUGUAAUUCCCUUUCGUUCUUUGCUACUUUUUUAUAGAUCUAAUUUGUCUGUGUCAUUGCACUUAAUGUAUUAGUGGACUGUAAUUUUUAAAAAGACGACGUGGUCACUCAAAUCAAUAAAAUACACUGUUGAUUGUUUAUAUUUAUAUUUUGAAUUUUUACGCUAUAUCACAAGCCAUUAAAUGGCAGAGAAUUAAAAAGUAAAGCGUUAAAUUGACUUGUUUUUCAUUUAUAUUGACGAUAUGAAAUAACAAUUACAAGCCCUAUAGAGCUGGGCCCUACAAUAUGCUACACACGUUAGAAUUAUGUACAAAUAUGUCACGUAAAUCAUUUUGUGAUAAGGUAUAACAAGGCACCAUGGGUGACUUUAUCUAUGUAUGGCGUAAUAGUAUUCAGAAAGAUGUUGGUACGUCUGCGGGGAGAAAUAAGUUACGUACUUAUAGAUUGUUUAAACAAGAUUGUGUGAUUGAACCAUAUGUUAAGUCAUUUCUAUCUCCUAAGUACAGAUCUGCUCUAGCUAAAUUUUGUUGUGGUCCCCUUAAGUUAGAAACUGGAAAAUACGAAACAUUAAGAAAAUCAGCGUGUCUGUCCGAUAUGUAAAGUAUCAGUUGAAACUGAAAUACAUGUUUUAAUUGAAUGCAAUGCCUAUCAAGUUUUGAGAGAUGUACUAAAUAAUAAAGCUUAUUAUGUUGAAAAUAACUUUGUCAAUUUUACCAAACAGGAGAAGUUUAAUUGUGUGCUCUCCACCACUGAUUUAGUCAAUAUUACUGCCAAAACCUGCUAUUUAAUUUUAAAAUAUAUGAAUAAUUUGUUGUUCAGAAAUGUGUAUAUAGUUCUAUAAGGAUAUGUCAUGGCUGCAUAAUAGAAUUUAUCAUUUAUAAAAUAGAUAUCUAAUACACUAUACUAUUAAGUUCCGGGUUAAUACUUCUAUAAUUGUAUUCAUUACAUAUUUAUUAUUUCUUACAUGCACAUGGUUAUAUAUCAUGUGCAGCAAUGACGAUUCCUAUAUAGUUAGGUCAAAAUCUAUCGCUAUCCCUUAUAACAUAAGGGUAAUAAAUCUGUAGUGCUUGGUGACAGCAAACGGUUGUUGUAUCAAGAUAUGUGGAGUUAUCCCCCUUUGCAAAUAAGAAGUAGAUAAUCUUGUCAGGGUGAUCUAAGUAUUUUUUUUACUGGAGUCUUUUGGUAAAUAUACAUAAUUCAGAUUAUUGAUAUGGGCAUCAUAAAUAUUAACUGCUUCUUGUCUUAAAAGAAAUAUAUUUUAUCACUGUCAAUAAUGUAAUGUUUCUUAUCUGAACAUAUAUUUUAACUUUAAUACAGAAGGUCACUGCCAACCAGUCCACUAAGGAUCUAAUUCUAGCUGGUAUUUGCUUUUUUUUUUUAAAAAUUAAUAUGCGCAUUAGUACAUGGAUUUACAAUAUUCAGUUUUUUAAGAUUGUGUAUUGUUUAAAGGCAGUUGUUUAAUCAAAGGUUGGCAAUCUGGUUUUUAUUAUGUAUAAUAGAAAUCAACACUUAUGAUAAGAAUAGUGAUUUGUAAAUUUGUUACAUAUUUUAAAGAUGUCUUUACAAAUC